rnacentral:rRNA from 1 species
GUGUCAGCCGCCGCGGUAAUACGUAGGGGGCGAGCGUUGUCCGGAAUCAUUGGGCGUAAAGCGCGUGUAGGCGGCGCGGUAAGUCUGGUGUGAAAUCUUGGGGCUCAACCCCAAGCGUGCAUCGGAUACUGCCGUGCUCGAGUCCGGGAGAGGGAAGCGGAAUUCCUAGUGUAGCGGUGAAAUGCGCAGAUAUUAGGAAGAACACCGGUGGCGAAGGCGGCUUCCUGGAACGGUACUGACGCUGAGACGCGAAAGCGUGGGGAGCGAACAGGAUUAGAAACCCCUGUAGUCC